AUGGUGCAAGACAAUGAAAAUGAGUUAUUGGAGGCACGUUUCUGUGAAGAGGAAGUUAAAAAGGCAGUAUUUGACUCUUAUUUUGAUGGGGCCCCAGGCCUUGAUGGAAUACCCUUCUUUUUCUACCAACUAUUCUGGGAUCUGAUCAAACUUGACUUGUUGGCUAUGUUUGAAUAUUUCCACAAAGGAGAGCUAGAUAUCUAUAGACUUAAUUUUUCCAUGCUAGCCCUUAUUCCCAAGGAGGCUAAAACCACUUCUAUGAAGAAGUUCAUGCCUAUCAGUCUGCUCAACUGUAACUUUACUUUUUUUACUAAGAUACAAGACACGCCCGGAUCCCUGCUUCCCCGCGACUUUUUGAGUGGGUUCAAGAUCUCUGAUCACCCUGCCUGCUUCACGCCGAUUAAGAAGAGGGACCCAGAGGAUGAGAGUGUUGUGUCCAGUCUAGUGUCGACCUUGGACAAGUGCUGGUCUCAUCAAGUUGUGUUCGAGCCGCCGUUGAAGAAUAGAAGGUCUGGCUCGGAGAUCGCCUGA
rnacentral:rRNA from 1 species